GUUGACAUAGUUUAAUAAAAGCACUAGGUUGUGGACCUAAAGACAGAAGUUUAACUCUUCUUGUUAACC
rnacentral:tRNA from 1 species